GAACACGGAAAUGAAAACAAUAUGGAGGAAGAAGGAGAUGUUGUUUACCAGGGUGAGGUUUUUAAGUUAAGUGAGGCAAAAAAACGACUCAUUGGCUCCAAAGCAGGAUCUUGGAAAGCAAAAUAUUUGAUAUUUCGAUUGAAAAGUGACAAGCCCAUCCUUGAAUAUCAUAAGAGAAAACCAAAACACAA
rnacentral:sRNA from 1 species